rnacentral:rRNA from 1 species
CAGUCGCCGCGGGAAAACGUAGGUGGCAAGCGUUAUCCGGAAUUACUGGGCGUAAAGCGCGCGUAGGCGGUUACUCAAGUCAGAGGUGAAAGCCCGGGGCUCAACCCCGGAACUGCCUUUGAAACUAGGUGGCUAGAAUCUUGGAGAGGUCAGUGGAAUUCCGAGUGUAGAGGUGAAAUUCGUAGAUAUUCGGAAGAACACCAGUGGCGAAGGCGACUGACUGGACAAGUAUUGACGCUGAGGUGCGAAAGCGUGGGGAGCAAACAGGAUUAGAUACCCCCGUAGUCCCUGUCUCUUAUAC